AUAUCAUUAGCGGGAGGAAAAGAAAUCAACAGAGAUUCCAGGAGUAACGGCGAGCGAAACUGGAAAAGCCCACGCUGAAGUAAGCUAGAUCAACUUCUGGUUUACAAUGUAGCAAAUCCACCGCGUCCUCCUCAGGGACAGCUAGCGAAGUGACCUGGAGCGGUCUACCAUGGAAGGUGACAGUCCUGUAGCUAGCUGCCUCGAAGGGCCUGGCGUGAGUGGCUGAGUCGUGCUGUUUGGGAGUACAGCACUAAUCCGGUGGUGUGUUCCAUCGAAGGCUAAAUACUUGUCGCGAGACCGAUAGCGCACAAGUA
rnacentral:rRNA from 1 species